rnacentral:rRNA from 1 species
UACGAAGGGGGCUAGCGUUGCUCGGAAUCACUGGGCGUAAAGCGCACGUAGGCGGCUUUGCAAGUCAGAGGUGAAAGCCCAGGGCUCAACCCUGGAACUGCCUUUGAUACUGUCGAUCUGGAGUAUGGAAGAGGUGAGUGGAAUUCCGAGUGUAGAGGUGAAAUUCGUAGAUAUUCGGAGGAACACCAGUGGCGAAGGCGGCUCACUGGUCCAUUACCGACGCUGAGGUGCGAAAGCGUGGGGAGCAAACAGG